GGGUGAUUAGCUCAGUUGGUAGAGCAGCUGACUCUUAAUCAGCGGGUCAUAGGUUCGAGCCCUAUAUCACCCA
rnacentral:tRNA from 1 species